UACGGAGGGUGCGAGCGUUGUCCGGAAUCACUGGGCGUAAAGGGCGCGUAGGCGGCGCGGGUAGUCAACGGUGAAAGCUUGGGGCUCAACCCCGAGUCAGCCGUCGAUACUCCCGUGCUUGAGCACUGUAGAGGCAGGUGGAAUUCCGGGUGUAGCGGUGGAAUGCGUAGAGAUCCGGAAGAACACCGGUGGCGAAGGCGGCCUGCUGGGCAGUAGCUGACGCUGAGGCACGAAAGCGUGGGGAUCGAACAGG
rnacentral:rRNA from 1 species